GGUUUCGUGGCCCAAUGGCAAGGCGUCUGACUACGACUGAGUUUCCCUUCGCAACCAGCAAAUGGAGACUUGACGAUAAUCAGGAGAUUCUGGGUUCGACCCCCAGCGAGAUCA